GAUAAAGACAUCGGUGAAAGCCCAACAGAAAACACACACCGAAAAUGCUAUAUUGAACUCAAAGUCCAAGAGCCCAACAUGAGAACUCAGGACAGUCAAGGAUCAAGGAUCAAAUCAUCUACGGGAAGCCUCCACAAAGGGAUGUUGGAGACGGAAAAAAAAAAAAAAAAAAAAAAAAAAAAA